AUUGAACGCUGGCGGCAGGCCUAACACAUGCAAGUCGAGCGAGCGGCGGACGGGUGAGUAAUGUAUGGGGACUGCCCGCUAGAGGGGGAUAACUACUGGAAACGGUGGCUAAUACCGCAUACUAUCGGAUAACCCAUAUGGGAUUAGCUAGUAGGUGGGGUAAAGGCUCACCUAGGCGACGAUCUCUAGCUGGUCUGAGAGGACGAUUAGCCAGACGGGGACAGAGACACGGCCCAGACUCCUACGGAGGAAGCAGUGGGGAAUAUUGCACAAUGGGCGCAAGGCUGAUGCAGCAAUGCCGCGUGUAUGAAGAAGGCCUUAGGGUUGGAAAGUACUUUCAGCGGGGAGGCGUUACCCGAAGAAGAAGCACCGGCUAACUCCGUGCCAGCAGCCGCGGUAAUUC
rnacentral:rRNA from 1 species